rnacentral:rRNA from 1 species
UACAGAGGGUGCAAGCGUUGUUCGGAAUUACUGGGCGUAAAGAGCUUGUAGGCGGUUUGUCGCGUCUGCUGUGAAAUUUCGGGGCUCAACCCCGAACUUGCAGUGGGUACGGGCAGACUAGAGUGUGGUAGGGGAGACUGGAAUUCCUGGUGUAGCGGUGAAAUGCGCAGAUAUCAGGAGGAACACCGGUGGCGAAGGCGGGUCUCUGGGCCGAUACUGACGCUGAGGAGCGAAAGCGUGGGGAGCGAACGGG